rnacentral:rRNA from 1 species
UGGGGAAUUUUGGACAAUGGGCGCAAGCCUGAUCCAGCCAUGCCGCGUGCGGGAAGAAGGCCUUCGGGUUGUAAACCGCUUUUGUCAGGGAAGAAAUCUUCUGAGUUAAUACCUCGGGAGGAUGACGGUACCUGAAGAAUAAGCACCGGCUAACUACGUGCCAGCAGCCGCGGUAAUACGUAGGGUGCAAGCGUUAAUCGGAAUUACUGGGCGUAAAGCGUGCGCAGGCGGUUUUGUAAGACAGAGGUGAAAUCCCCGGGCUCAACCUGGGAACUGCCUUUGUGACUGCAAGGCUUGAGUGCGGCAGAGGGGGAUGGAAUUCCGCGUGUAGCAGUGAAAUGCGUAGAUAUGCGGAGGAACACCGAUGGCGAAGGCAAUCCCCUGGGCCUGCACUGACGCUCAUGCACGAAAAGCGUGGGGAGCAAAACAGGAUUAGAUACCCUGGUAGUCCACGCCCUAAACGAUGUCAACUGGUUGUUGGGAAGGUUCCUUCUCAGUAACGUAGCUAACGCGUGAAGUUGACCGCCUGGGGAGUACGGCCGCAAGGUUGAAACUCAAAUGAAUUGACGGGGUCAUAGCUGUUUCC